rnacentral:rRNA from 1 species
AGAUGGCGACCGGCGCACGGGUGAGUAACACGUAUCCAACCUGCCGAUAACUCGGGGAUAGCCUUUCGAAAGAAAGAUUAAUACCCGAUGGUAUAAUCAGACCGCUUGGUUUGAUUAUUAAAGAAUUUCGGUUAUCGAUGGGGAUGCGUUCCAUUAGGCAGUUGGUGAGGUAACGGCUCACCAAACCUUCGAUGGAUAGGGGUUCUGAGAGGAAGGUCCCCCACAUUGGAACUGAGACACGGUCCAA